UACAGAGGUGGCAAGCGUUGUUCGGAAUUACUGGGCGUAAAGGGCGCGUAGGCGGUCAGGUCAGUCCCGUGUGAAAUCCCUCGGCUCAACUGAGGAACUGCACGGGAAACUGCCUGGCUUGAGUUCGGGAGAGGGAAGCGGAAUUCCGGGUGUAGCGGUGAAAUGCGUAGAUAUCCGGAGGAACACCAGUGGCGAAGGCGGCAUCCUGGACCGGCAUUGACGCUGAGGCGCGAAAGCUAGGGUAGCAAACGGG
rnacentral:rRNA from 1 species